AGGGAAAAGGGACUCACUAGGAAGACCUAGUGUUUCAGUUUUAACUAUUAACCAAUAGUGGAAAAACAAGGAUGCCUAAGUUAUGCCUUCAGAGCCAAUAGGGUGGAUUUGUGUGUCCCACAUGACAGCAUUUCCCCUGUCUUUCACAUGGGCAGUAUUUAGUUCAAUUCAGAACUGCAGCUAGUACAGCUUGCACAGAAGCAAUGGGAUGUCUGAGCACAAGUGGCUGACUUCCGAGUGACUUUAUGAAGCAGUUUUGUACUUUCCUUGUGCAUUAAAUUGGGAUCUGCAUCCUUGACAUUCACCCACCACACUCAUCUCUACUGAAGGAAACAGUGCAGUAUGAAACUGCCCUAUGCUCAAAUAUCACAAAGAAGGGCAUAAGAAGCACUGAACAGAAUAUGAAGGCAAAAUUCCUGUUGACUUCCAUGUUUAUCUGCACCAGAGGAAUUGGAGCAGAAUUGCAGACCAACAAAUGAAGUGAGCUGAAGGCAAUUUGACCAAUGUUUUCUGUGUGAAUUCCACAGAGGCUGAUGAAGCAUGUUAUCAGGUCUCCAAGAGGAAGGAUCUAACAUCAGAUAUAAACACAGGAACUGCUUUCUUUAAAAUUCAGCUGCUUUAAAACCAGAGAAUUGUUCUUUUGGAGCCUGAUCCUGCAAGACCUCACAUGGGCUACUCCACUGAAUACAAGAGAGAUUAUUCAGGUCCAGUGUCAAUACAUUAUGAAGAUGUGGCAUUUGAGAGGGUUUUCUUUUAAAUGGAGGAACACCAUGGAGAAUGGAACAGAAGAACAGAUUUUUAAGGAUGCUGUCAAGUCAGUGGAGUUCUCUUUUUAGUGGUUGCUUCAGUGAACAUUCAACGCUGUCGGUGAGUUUGGAAUUAAAGUGAAAACCAUCGACCGUUGAUUGUACCCUCCAGCUAACCAUCAUCCUCCUUACUUCAUGCUUUCAGGCCUUUCACUGAAGACAGCUGCCAAACCAGCACACAAGGUAUCUCUUCCCCCCACCCCAUCCUCUUUGCAGAGCUUUACUAAAAAGGUCACAAUCAACAUUCAUUGCUGUCGGUGGGUUUAACUAUGUGGACAAGCUCACUGAACAAUGAAUGCAACUGUGGCCCCACUUUUUGUGAUCACAGUCAAGAGGAAUAUCAGCUCUGAAAGCAGCACUGAAAGUCUUUCAUAUAUGAAACUUUUCUGAUCAAGAGACGAAUAUCUUCAGGAUUUUUUUUUUUUUUUUUUUUAAGCUGGUUUGACUCAGAUGGUUGAGACAACACUCAUUCCUCCCUGGAGUUGAUUACAACAUAAAGGGAGCUCAUUCUGCCAUUAAUCUCUCUUACUUACUACAGAUAUUAACAAAAACUCUGGUAUAGAAAAAGCCUCCCUGUAUGCACCCCCGAGGACUCUGAACACAGGAGGAGAGAUGGUUGAAAACGCCUCUAAAAAUAUAUAUAGUAAUAAAAUAAAAUCUAUGCACUGCAACAUUGCACAUGCAGAGAGAUGAUGGCUAUGUGUGUCCUUGGCAAAACAAGACAAACUCACCCCAAAAUUUCUUACAAAUGGGAGCCUUAGUUAAAGAAUGGCGAUAAUAUUCCUGAUCUUGGUGUAAUACAAUUAACUGCUUUGUGAAGUUUAUUUAAACACCUAAUAAACAUUAAAAAACACAAA